GCCUGCCCUGUGACAAUGUUUAACGGCCGCGGUAUUUUGACCGUGCGAAGGUAGCGUAAUCACUUGUCUUUUAAAUGAAGACCUGUAUGAAAGGCAUCACGAGAGUUUAACUGUCUCUAUUUUCUAAUCAAUGAAAUUGAUCUUCUCGUGCAGAAGCGAGAAUAUUACCAUUAGACGAGAAGACCCUAUGGAGCUUCAAACACUUAAAUUAAUUAUGUAAAAUUAUAAUCCUUAGGGAAAAAUCAUCCAUAUAAUAUUCCUAAUUUAACUGUUUUUGGUUGGGGUGACCGAGGGGGAAAAGAAAUCCCCCUUAUCGACUGAGUACUAAGUACUUAAAAAUUAGAACGACAGUUCUGAUUAAUAAAACAUUUACCGAAAAAUGACCCAGAUUUUUCUGAUCAAUGAACCAAGUUACCCUAGGGAUAACAGCGCAAUCCUUUCCCAGAGUCCCUAUCGCCGAAAGGGUUUACGACCUCGAUGUUGGAUCAGGACAUCCUAAUGGUGCAACCGCUAUUAAGGGU
rnacentral:rRNA from 1 species